ACCUGGUUGGCUCAGUCUGUGGAGCCUGUGACUUUUGAUCUUGGGGUUGUGAGUUCGAGUCCCAUGCUGGGUG
rnacentral:tRNA from 1 species